rnacentral:ncRNA from 2 species
CGUAUCAAAGGAAAUGGUGUCUUCCUACUUAACCGCCCUGAAAAGCUGAUGGCGCCUACAAUGAA